rnacentral:siRNA from 1 species
CCGUCUCUUUGUAGCGCUUACUC